AUAGGCAACUCACUAAGCGUAUUUUGUUCCUGGUUCCGCCGCAGGUCUUGGCCAUGCCAUCGGCAACCUGCUCGUCUUGUCCAUGAGGCCUUCCCAGCUGGCCGGGCUCACCCCGCGGCUCCUGCACCUGUGCCUGCCCCAGGAAUCUGGGGCCGUUUCCCACUCCUCUUCAACCGUCAGCGACAUCUUGGGCCUUCUUUUCCAGUCAGGUGGGACGGCGCCCCUAUGAGGCUGUGUCUUAUCCCUCGGAACACGGGCACCCCACAGAGGGUCCUGCCUUCUGUGGUCUGGAGCGCCCCCUCGAGGAAGAAACCCGUGCUGUCUGCUCACAACUCCAUGAUGUUUGAACACUUCAGCCCCGUGAGGAUCCCUCAUCUCAGAGGCAAAUUUAACCUUCAACUUCCUUCAUUAGAUGAGCAGGUGAUCCCAGCCAGGCUCCCGAAGACGGAGGUGAGGGCAGAAGAGCCCAAAGAAGCAAUGGAGGUGAAAGACCAGGUAGAGACCCAGGGGCAGGAGGACAAUAAAAGGGGCCCCUGUAGCAAUGGGGAAGCAGCCUCCACCUCUAGGCCCCUGGGGACUCAGGGAAACCUCACUUCCUCCUGGUACAAUCCCAGGCCCUUGGAGGGAAAUGUCCACCUCAAGAGCUUGACAGAAAAGAAUCAGACUGACAAGGCCCAGGUGCAUGUAGUGAGUUUCUACUCCAAGGGCCACGGAGUCACCAGUUCACACAGCCCUGCUGGAGGCUUCCCAAAGAGAAGGACGCCUCCAGCAGGGCAACAUGCAUAAGAACGUGAGAGUGUUAAGUAGAACAUCAAAAUUCAGGAGACUAAGACAGCUGCUUAGGAGGAGAAAGAAGAGACGGCAGGGCAGGCUUGGUGGCUCACGCCUGUAAUCCAGCACUUUGGGAGGCCCAGGCGGGUGGAUCAGGAGGUCAAGAAAUUAAGACCUGAGGAGCAUCUCUGCCUGCACCAUCUGGGAAGUGAGGAGCGCCUCUGCCCGGCUGCUCCACCGUCUGGGAAGUGACGAGCGCCUCUGCCCAGCCGCCCCACCGUCUGGGAAGUGAGGAGCGCCUCUGCCCGGCUGCUCCACCAUCUGGGAAGUGAGGAGCGCCUCUGCCUGGCCACCGCACCAUCUGGGCAGUGAGGAGCGCCUCUGCCCGGCCCCCGCCUUCUCUGGGAAGUGACGAGCGCCUCUGCCCGGCCACCUCACAGUCUGGGAAGUGAGGAGCACCUCUGCCCGGGCCCUGCCCCGUCUGGGCAGUGAGGAGUGCCUCUGGAGGCCGCCGCCCUGUCUGGGAAGAGGAGCGCCUCUGCCCAGCUGCCCACCAUCUUCUGCCCGGCCUCCUCACCAUCUGGGAAAUGAGGAGCGCCUCUGCCUGGCCACCAUCCCAUCUGGGAAGUGAGGAGUGCUUCUGCCCAGCCCCUGCAUCCUCUGGGAAGUGAGGAGCGCCUCUGCCCAGCCCCCUCACCAUCUGGGAAGUGAGGAGCGUCUCUGCCCAGCUGCUGUGCAACCUUCCAAGUGUGAAGUGACAGUCUUGUGUGUGAUCUUUCUGCCCUCCCCAAGUUUGCAUUUUCGACAUUGAAGUU
rnacentral:antisense_RNA from 1 species